UACGGAGGGAGCUAGCGUUGUUCGGAAUUACUGGGCGUAAAGCGCGCGUAGGCGGCUUUGUAAGUUAGAGGUGAAAGCCCGGGGCUCAACCCCGGAAUAGCCUUUAAGACUGCAUCGCUUGAAUCCGGGAGAGGUGAGUGGAAUUCCGAGUGUAGAGGUGAAAUUCGUAGAUAUUCGGAAGAACACCAGUGGCGAAGGCGGCUCACUGGCCCGGUACUGACGCUGAGGUGCGAAAGCGUGGGGAGCAAAGCAGGAUUGAUGAAACCCUACGGUAGGUCCAGAACCCA
rnacentral:rRNA from 1 species